ensembl:lncRNA novel transcript, antisense to LTA4H
AAGGUUUUCUGAAGCUUUCUUUCCACCAGGGAAGACUGCAAAGGCCAGAGAUCAUUUUCACAACUAAAGGUCGUCAUCUGGGCAAAUGAACCACUCUGACUUGGAGAUUAGGGGCUCAGACAGCCGUGGAUGAGAGUCCAGCUCUACUACUUAUUAGCCUUGAUUAGUUGACUGUCACUGCCGAGACCAGCUUCUGAGUAAUUUCAGCCCAGGCAUCAGACUAGUGAGGGAAGGAGCUUCCAGGUGAUACCACCUCCCAGCCAUACUGUGAGAGGGAUGGGAAAGACUGGUGCUUGGGGUGGCCAUCUGACCCCUGAUGGACAGGAGACCAGGACAAGCCCACUGGAUGAGCCGGAGGGGUCCAGGAGGAGGGAGUUGAGAGCUCCUGCUAGGGUUGACACAUUCUGGUAAGGAGUUCAUCUGCUGUCCACCAGGGGAGACAAUAAAAAGGUCAACACAGCUCCCACCUCGAAGCAGCUGCCAGUUUAUUACAUGAAGUGUCAGGCUGUGGACUGCAGGCAUGCCAUUUUGUCUUCAAGAACAGAAUUCCCGGGCACACGAAUGAUUCCAGGGUUCCUCCAGCACUUUGGUAUUACUUGAAAGCAAUCUUAAGGGAUCUAGAAUGAACCAACGCCCAAAAAGGAUCCCUUAGCAGCGGUGAUAUCAAAGAAACACUUUUGAAGAACUAAUUUUCCACCCAGAUUUCCCCAAUUUUAAAAGCAAUGGGCAAAGCCUUCUCCACUCCUAAACUUCCUGGAACUGUCUUUUGGCUAUAUCAGGCCCCUGAAGUUAGAGUCUUUGAAAGACUCCAAACUCCAAAUUCUAUGCUUUUAUUCUCAGGCUCCUCAUAAUUCUACAGCACACCAGACUGCUGACCACUCUCCGUACCACUUUUAAAUUAUUUCUUCCCACAGCUUUCUUAACAAUGAACCUUUGAAAUCUUUUUAGUUUUCCAUUUAUUUUGCUACCUUUCCUCUGUCCUAGCUCUAAAAUGAAGAUCCUCUAAGGUUCUACAGUUUACUUCUUGUAUUCUCCUUUGUAAGUCAUCUCCAAGACGAUGUCCAAAUCCAUCACCAUUAAAAUUAAUAGUUUCCUCACCCACAACACUUAAUAUUUUAAAAAAAAUACUUUUCAUUGUAUUAUAAUUACUUGAUACAUACAUAUUUGCUCUGUGAGUUCCUUAUUCAUCAUAUUAGUGCCUGACAAUAAAUGUGUGCUGGAUUGAGCUGAA